UCCAAAUCAGCGUACAUUAAUAAAUGUUCACUUAACCAUUUGAAAUUCUUAUUUGUUCAAAACCGACAAAUUUAAAUACAUAAAAUCGAUACGUUUUGAAAAUUUCUAAGUCUAAUAGAUAGGGAGUCUAAUGUGGAUUUAAGAAUUAGAAUAGUUUGAUUCUGCCAAACACUGAGCAUGCAAACAAAUGGAAAAAUAGCAAAGCUUGCCAAAAAGUUUCCAGGGGGUUGGUGUAGUCAAUGUCAAAUACUCGUUAACUUCAACGACGCUGUUUCGCUUCAAUCAAAGGAAACGGCAAAACCUUAAUAAUUUAUUCAAUAUAGUACUAUUGACGACAGUCGACUGGGGUUAGUGAUGGCUACAGACCUACAACAACUAUUAAAUAUUAAUGCUAUUCGUAUGAACAUCCAUCCAUCGACCACGCAGAGUGCAACUACAAACUUUUCAUUUCUUCGCUGGAUAAUGAAGUAUGAGAUAAAGGGUAACCAAGUGGACGAUGCUCUCAGAAUGUCAUUAAACGCUCAAGGCAGGAACCCGAAACUUUAUGAACAGCUCAAGUUCACCAAAAGAACUAUUUCAGUUUUGAAAACUUAUUCAAAGCGAACUGUUACUUCUUCUUGUUAUUUUCCCGGCAUACGCUUGCUCAUUAUUAUUAUGCCUAACCAACCAUAAUAAAUUGAU